rnacentral:tRNA from 1 species
GGAAAAAUAGCUCAGUGGUAGAGCAUCGGUUUCUUAACUCAAAGGUCGUAGGUUCGAUCCCCAGAUUAUUUCCG